CCUACGGGAGGCAGCAGUGGGGAAUAUUGCACAAUGGGGGGAACCCUGAUGCAGUAACGCCGCGUGAAGGAAGACGGUUUUCGGAUUGUAAACUUCUAUCAAUAGGGAAGAAAGAAAUGACGAUACCUAAAUAAGAAGCCCCGGCUAACUACGUGCCAGCAGCCGCGGUAAUACGUAGGGGGCAAGCGUUAUCCGGAUUUACUGGGUGUAAAGGGAGCGUAGACGGCUAAUCAAGUCAGAAGGGAAAACCCAGGGCUCAACUUUGGGACUGCUUUUGAAACGGAGUAGCUAGAGUGCAGGAGAGGUAAGCGGAAUUCCUAGUGUAGCGGUGAAAGGCGUAGAUAUUAGGAGGAACACCAGUGGCGAAGGCGGCUUACUGGACUGUAACUGACGUUGAGGCUCGAAAGCGUGGGGAGCAAACAGGAUUAGAUACCCCAGUAGUC
rnacentral:rRNA from 1 species